rnacentral:rRNA from 1 species
AUUGAACGCUGGCGGCAUGCCUUACACAUGCAAGUCGAACGGCAGCACGGGAGCAAUCCUGGUGGCGAGUGGCGAACGGGUGAGUAAUAUAUCGGAACGUGCCCAGUCGUGGGGGAUAACGUAGCGAAAGCUACGCUAAUACCGCAUACGAUCUAUGGAUGAAAGCGGGGGAUCGCAAGACCUCGCGCGAUUGGAGCGGCCGAUAUCAGAUUAGGUAGUUGGUGAGGUAAAGGCUCGCCAAGCCGACGAUCUGUAGCUGGUCUGAGAGGACGACCAGCCACACUGGGACUGAGACACGGCCCAGACUCCUACGGGAGGCAGCAGUGGGGAAUUUUUGGACGAAUGGGCGCAAGCCUGAUCAGCAAUGCCGCGUGCAGGAUGAA